AUACGUAGGUGACAAGCGUUAUCCGGAUUUACUGGGCGUAAAGGGCGUGUAGGCGGUCUUGCAAGUCAGAAGUGAAAUUCCUGAGCUCAACUCGGGCGCUGCUUCUGAAACUGCAGGACUUGAGUGCUGGAGGGGAUAGCGGAAUUCCUAGUGGAGCGGUAAAAUGCGCAGAUAUUAGGAAGAACACCGGUGGCGAAGGCGGCUGUCUGAACAGUAACGGACGCUGAGGCGCGAAAGCGUGGGGUGCAAACAGGAUUAGAUACCCUUGUAGUCCACGCCGUAAACGAUGAAUACUAGGUGUAGGGGGUAUCGACUCCCUCUGUGCCGCAGUUAACACAAUAAGUAUUCCGCCUGGGGAGUACGGCCGCAAGGUUGAAACUCAAAUGAAUUGACGGGG
rnacentral:rRNA from 1 species